rnacentral:lncRNA from 14 species
UGGUGCUGUGGCUGGGUCCUCAGCUCCUUCCUUCACUGCUGUGGAAGGCUUGGGUGUAUCCUCCCCAUCCCUGGGUGGAUGAGGGGCUCUGGAGCUGCACUGGUGCCUGUGCUGGUACCAGAGAACCAUGAUUGGCUUCUCCAUGGCUCUGAGCCUGGUGCUCUCCACUGUCCACUUAUUCCCUCUUCCCUUUGCUCAGGAUGGGUUGUGGGUGUCCUGCCUGCAGGACACAGGGGCAGGACGUUCAGGUUAAAUGUAAGGCAGAAGCUGUUCCCUGGGAGGGUGCUGAGGCGCUGGCACAGGGUGCCCAGAGAAGCUGUGGCUGCCCCAUCCCUGGCAGUGCUCAAGGCCAGGUUGGACACAGGGGCUUGGAGCAGCUGCUCCAGUGGAAGGGGUCCCUGCCCUGGCAGGGGUUGGAGCUGGAGGAGCUUUGAGGUCUCUUCCAACCCAAACCAGUCUGGGAUGUGAUGAGAUGUGCAGGCAGAAGUGCCACAGCCCUGAUGCUCUGCAGACCCUGCGCCCUGGGUGCAGUGCCAGAUGCUGCUGUGGCUCAGUGAGUCUGUGGUGCUGCCGGGCUGUGCCGUGGUCCCCAUGUGCCCUGGUCACCAUCCCCAUGGUCACUGUCCCAAUGUCACCAUGUGUCCUGGUCACUGUCCCUGUGUCUCCAUCACUCCCGACCCAUCCGGUGCUCGGCUCACCGGGUGCAGUGACACUGGCCGGGACUCUGCAGCCAUGUCCGAGUUCACGUCACACUCAUUGCUGCUGUUGCUCUGCCUGCUGCUGCCCUGUCCCCAUCCUUGCCUGCCCCUGUUCCUGUCCCUGCUCUGUGCCCAUCCCUGCCCUGUCCCUGCCCAUCCCAUUCCACCACUGUGCUGUGCUCCCGCUGCUGGCCCCUCCGUUCCAGGCUGUCUUGUCCAGCCUCGUGCAGCCCGAGGAGCAUCCAGCGUGUGCCCCAGCGCGGCCGCUGCCCGCAGGAUGGCUGACCCCAACCAGGCUGCAGGCUCGGGGCUGCACCAGGCACAUCCCAGCCCUGCGGGUGGAGGGGAGGAGAUCGUGCGCGGCAUCGCUGUGGAGAAGUUUGACAUCGUCAAGAAGUGGGGGAUCAACACGUACAAGGUGAGGGCUCCGGAAAGUCACGGCCAGGAUAGGCUGGGAUGUAGCCAAGGGGAUCAGGUGCAAUAGGCAAAGGGCUGGUCCUGCACUUGGGAGCACAGCCACCCAAUGCAAUGCUCCAGGCAUGGAGAAGAGUGGCUGGAAACUGCUUGUGGGAAAGGACUUGGGGGAUACUGAGUGAUGGAG